CAUCAACUACAUUUUCUCCCUCAGCACUCGCCUUAGAUUCCUGGACCCACAGCACAGAGGCGACCUCCUCCUUGCAGACUUUAGGCGCCACUGCGGGGUCCGGAAAAAAAAGAGAAACGGCCCAGCGCUGUCACUUACAUAACCCAGGGCGGGGCUGCGCUCGGCGACCGCAAGCGUUUUGAAUUCUGCGCCCCAGAGUUCACUGCGAGGACUGGGAUCACCCGUCACCCCGCCCUGGUCUACGGAAAAUGACAAGUGUUUACUGAUAUAGAAACGGAAUAACGGCGCUGUGGGCUGGGGUGGGCGGAGCUGCCCACGGAUUCCAGGAUCCGGAAACUCUUCCUGCUGCUGCGUCACCCCAGGAAGGCAGCGCCCGCCUCUGGGCAGUUCUGAUGGAAACUGGCUUCGCCGCCCAGAGGAAAACCCACAACUAAGGGGCCAAGAAAAAGCCUCCAUGGUCCCGCCCUUUCAGUGAGGAUCCUAAUUUAUACCCCGAGUGUGGCCCCCAUCAAAGUCUGCAGUGACAGCCGAGCGCGGUGGCUCACGUCUGUAAUCCCGGCACUUUGGGAGACCAUGGCGGGCGGAUCACUUGAGGUCAGGAGUUCGAGACCAGCUUGGCCAACAUGGUGAAGCCCCUUCUCUACUAGAAAUACAAAAAUUAGCCGGGUGUGGUCGUAGGCGCCUGUAGUCCCAGCUACUCGGAGGCUGAGGCAGAAAAAUGGCUUGAACGCGGGAGGCGGAGCUUGCAGGGAGCCGAGAUCGCGCCACUGCACUCCAGCCUGGGCGACAGAGACUCCAUCUCACACACACACAAAAAAUGUAGAGUGACGUUCACUGAAAUGAUACUAGACCAGCGGGAGGGACCCAGAGCGCUGCGGUUCACAGAAUGCGGUGACAGCGCCGCCUCGCGUCCUUUACUUCAACUGCCCCAGGCAGACGUGGUCACGUGUGUUGGCCUGGAGGCUGGAAUACACCGGGGUCAAAUGCAGAGUGGAGAAAGGAGGGAAGGAUGGGAGGACGUGUUGAAGAAAGACAGUAAGAGCUAGCGCUAUGGUUCAUAUCUGUAAAACUAGAGUUUUCGGAGGCGAGGCAGGAGGAUCGUGUGAGACCAGGAGUUUGAGGUCGCAGUGAGCCGUGAUCACACCACUGCACUCCAGCCUGGACGACAGAGUGAGACCCUGCUUUUAUAUACUUUUCAUAUUUUCUGUAAUUAAGCAAGUUUUGUGUCCGGAAUUGGUGGGUUCUUGAUCUCACUGACUUCAAGAAUGAAACUGUGGACCCUCGCGGUGAGUGUUACAGCUCUUAAGGUGGCGCGUCUGGAGUUUGUUCCUUCUGAUGUUCGGACGUGUCCGGAGUUUUUUCCUUCUGGUGGGUUCGUGGUCUCGCUGGCUCAGGAGUGAAGCUACAGAGCUUUGCGGUCAGUGUUAUAGCUCUUAAGGCGGCACGUCUGGAGUUGUUUGUUUCUCCCGGUGGGCUUUUGGUCUUGCUGGCUUCAGGAGUGAAGCUGUAGACCUUCACAGUGAGUGUUACAGCUCAUAAAAGCACUAUGGACCCAAAGAGUGAGCAGUAGCAAGAUUUAUUGCAGAGCAAAAGAACAAAGCUUUAGCAGUGUGGAAGAGAACCCGACUGGGUUGCCACUGCUGGCUCGGGCAGCCUGCUUUUAUUCUCUUAUCUGGCCCCACCCACAUCCUGCUGAUUGGUAGAGCCGAGUGGUCUGUUUUGACAGGGUGCUGAUUGGUGCGUUUGCAAUCCCUGAGCUAGACACAAAGGUUCUCCAAGUCCCCAUCAGAUUAGUUAGAUACACAGUAUGGACACAAAGGUUCUCCAAGGCCCCACCAGAGCAGCUAGAUACAGAGUGUAGAUUGGUGCAUUCACAAACCCUGAGCUAGGCACAAGGUGCUGAUUGGUGUGUUUACAAUCCCUGAGCUAGACAUAAAGACUCUCCACGUCCCCACCAGACUCAGGAGCCCAGCUGGCUUCACUUAGUGGAUCCCGCACCGGGGCUGCAGGUGGAGCUGCCUACCAGUCCCGCACGGUGCGCUUGCAUUCCUCAGCCCUUGGGUGGUCGAUGGGACUGGGCGCCGUGGAGCAGGGGGUGGUGCUCGUCGAGGAGGCUCGGGCCGCACAGGAGCCCUUGGAGUGGGUGGGAGGCUUAGGCAUGGCGGGCUGCAGGUCCCCAGCCCUGCCCCGCGGGAAGGCAGCUAAGGCUCGGUGAGAAAUCGAGCGCAGCGCUGGUGGGCUGGCACUGCUGGGGGACCCAGUACACCCUCCGCAGCUGCUGGCCCGGGUGCUAAGUCCCUCAUUGCCAGGGGCCAGCAGGGCUGGCCGGCUGCUCCGAGUGCGGGGCCCGCCAAGCCCACGCCCACCCGGAACUCCAGCUGGCCGGCAAGCGCGGCACACAGCCCCGGUUCCCGCUCGCGCCUCUCCCUCCACACCUCCCCGCAAGCUGAAGGAGAGGGCUCCGGCCUUGGCCAGCCCAGAAAGGGGCUCCCACAGUGCAGCGGUGGGCUGAAGGGCUCCUCAAGUGCCGCCAAAGUAGGAGCCCAGGCAGAGGAGGCGGGGAGAGCAAGCGAGGGCUGUGAGGACUGCCAGCACGCUGUCACCUCUCGGUUUUACUUUAUUUUAGGAUAAAAUAUCUAUUGUGAAUUUUAAAAACAUGUAAAAUAAAAUUUUAAUUAAAAAGCCUAAAUGUUCUUUUCCUAUUUAUCCUGAAGGAAAUUCCUGUUGAUGGCGCAUUUAGGAACUUAUUUAUCCCCUGAAGACCUGAGCCCUGCACAUAUCAAAACUGUACAUUCCUUGUGGAGCAGUCUUCUCUUUUGAAAUGUAGACACUAUUUCCCUAAUCUUCAAGCCAGCCAUUGUCACUCCUAGUGACACUUCCAUUGGAUAAGCUCCUUACUCUCACUGAAAUUGGCCUCAGAGUUGCAGCCAAGCAUUGGGAGCCAUGGCAGAAGUCAUUGUGGGGUUUGCACCUGGCUGAUGUGGAAGGUAGUCCUGAAAGGUAGUGUGUGACUAAGUGGGCUCUGGAGGGCAGGGAUGUGCCUGGUGAGAGGAGAACAAGACAGAUAGGAAGGUUCCAAAAGAAAACUUCAGGGGUCCCUGUGCCCAACAUCGGGAUUUAGAAAAUCUUCUCCCAGCCACUUUUGACCUGCUUUCAUUCCGCUUUCCUGUCUACCAGGCCAUUGCAGGCAGUUCCUUCAUUGAAUAAAUAUUUAUCAAAUACCUACCACGUGCCAGGCAUUGUGUUUAAGGAGCUGGGGCUGAGGUAAGAGGAACCAAACCCCCCUUGCGCUCAAGGUUGUCCCAGUCUUGCUCAGGCAGAGAUCAGUCAGGAAAUUGUAACACUAAUGGUUGGCAGGACAUGUACACAUGCUUUGCAAACUCACAAGUAGACCAUCUUCUCUGACCUAGGAGUCACAGAAAGUUCACAAAAGAGACAAUGUUCAAGCUAUGUUUUGAGGUGUAAGUAGGAGCCCAACAGGCACCUGGGACAAGAGAGCAUUGCUCAGAAUCCAGAACAUGAAUUU
rnacentral:lncRNA from 1 species